GUUUGGUCCAUCAUUUGAGUCCACCUGUGUAGGUUCGGACCCGAGGAACCGAGGACCCCAGCAGUGAGUUCAGCUGCUUCGGUGUUGUCAGAGUCAGCCAGAGGUGAGUGGAACUAAACUUAAUCUUUUAAAUUAAAUGUUUUAUCAUGUUUCAUGCAUCAUGAUUAUGCAAUAGGAUGAUGACAUUAGUAUUCACGAAUAUGCCGCAUUGCAUCGAUUGUUGUUGAUGUGGGUGAAUGUUGGAUGACCCAAUUAGUCCAUGACAGGAAGACCAGGACCCCAUUCUACGGCCUGGCACGAUUGUAAGGAAAGACCAGGACCCCAUUCUACGGCCUGGCACGAUUGUGGGACUCGAAGACCAGGAGCCCAGAGGAGGCCCUGGGAUAAUGGUAAGUAAUGUAUGUAUGACAAGAAGACCAGGACCCCAUGCUACGGCCUGGCACAAUGUUAGCUUGGACUAAUUGGUGACAAGUUCACCCAACCCUUAUGUGAAUUGUCUGUGUUAUGAUGCAUUUCAUAGAGCAUAGUGUUAAUGUGUUUUAAUAGCUCUACUCACUGGGCUUUUAGCUCACCCCUCUCCCUUU
rnacentral:lncRNA from 1 species